rnacentral:snRNA from 1 species
ACUCAUACCUUGCAGGGGAAAUACUAUGGUCAUGAAAGUGGUUUUCCCAGGGUAAGGCUCAUCCAUUGCACUUCAGGUGUGCUGAUCCCAGUGAUUUCCCCAAAUGUGGGGAAUUCAACUGCAUAAUUUGUGGUAAAGGGGGAUUGCAUUUGUGCUUUCCCUGG